ACGUUGCAGGCUGGUUUUGGUUUGAGUGGGGAUCCUAUCAUUACAACUCAUGCAAGCAAGUUGAUGCUGUUGAAAUCAAUUGCACACCAUCUAGAAUAUUACAUACUUGCAAGUACCAGAAGCUGCAGUUUGUCUCCUUCCUCAUCAAAAGUGAAGUUGAAGGCAUAUACUGAUCGAACUUCAUGAAGAAGAACGAGUGGAACAUACAUUCCAUCCUGGUUCGAAUGAGACAUUGCUUUUGGCAGUGCAAGACAACGGGAAACAACUUCUUCAAAUCCAAGGAAUGUUAGAACAAAAGAUGAAGCAAUGAGAAGCAAUUCAAGCAGCUAAUGCGAGGCUGGCAGGGAAAGGUGGAGAGUUGUCACAUCAUGAAACUACCACUAUUGGUGGUGCUUUGGAUUUGACGCGGAAGACUGCUGAAGAUGUUUUGACUCCAAUAUCAGAAAAUUUUACCCUUCAUAAACUCCAAACUUCACAUGAAACACUGGAUUCAAUAAUGAUUAAUGAGCAGUCGUCACACUCGUAUACCAAUCUAUUCAGGAAAUCUAAAUAAUAUCAUUGGCCUCAUUUCGCAUACAACAUGUCCUAAUCUGUCUAGGAGUUGGAGAGGGUGGCUCAUAUAUGUCUAGAAGAAAGAGAGGAGACAAAACAAAGAGAGAGAUAAGAGAACAGGGAAUAAGGAAAAGAAGCAGAAGAGAGAGGUGGAAAGUUGUUACUCAAAACAAAACAAGUGGAAGGGUACAAUAGUGAAUCUUCUGUUUAUGAUGCUUCAUUUGAUAUGCUGCUGAUUAGGUAUCAAGUGCUCAACAAACCAAGAGAGGUCAACACCUUAUGAAAUGAAUAUCUAAAAGCAUCAAAAUAGCAUUCUACCUGCAACCACUCUUUAGCUGGAGACCAAAACGCAAGACACACCUAAAGAAUAGUUUAUCCCUUGCUUGAGUCAAAAAAUGUCUUGGUUGUAUCUAAGCAGACCAUUCUACUUGGUGUGGAGGUAGUGCAGUAGCUGCUCAUGUCUUUCUACAACUGCAGCAAUUGGAUGUUCAUUGAUACACAGAUUUGGAAGCUUAAGAUAUUGCGCUCCAAGGAACUACAGAAUAACAAGCCAAACCGCUAAUUUUCAAGCCAACAUCCAUCAAACAGUUCUCAUUAUUGUCUUUCAUCUAUUGCUUUAUUAGACGAUACAUACCAAGUUUGAUUUGAAGUUAUUGAUUCCAGUGAGAAAUUCGUGUAAAAUAUUUUAAUCAUUCUUUAAUGAAGGUGUGCAACAGAAACAUUCUGCUAUGUAAUGUUAUCCCAGUAACAUAUAACAGUAAUUCCCACAGCAAAGCGCAGGCGAAUAUUACUAGUUAUACAUAUAUCUAAAGCUGAGUUUACUAUUCCUAAUUGUUCACUGGGAAGCGGAAAUGACGGUUUUGCCCUCUGUUUUUGCUUUGACCUACGGCUCUGCCAUGUCCCCUCAUUAUAUAAGCAAAAAUCCCAAAUUCUUAGUUUCUUCGGGAAGCCUCUAUCAACAUCCAUAUUCACUGUUUCACAGCAUCAAACCCAGCCAUCAAAAUCAACAAUCUCCCACGAACUUCAACCUCUAUCAACAUCAGUCGCUCCAUUCCAAUUUCGGUUUGAAUUGCUUUUCCACAGUGAUUUCUAUUCAAUGUUAAUGAUAUGUAUGUCUUAUCAACUUCACGUUGUUCAAUACGUAAUUUCUGUAGCUCUGUUUAUUUGAAUCAGUCAUGUAGAGUUUCUAAACUGUAAUACAUUGCCCUAAAAAGGUUAUUCCCUUUUCCUUUCCAGUUUUAAUAGUGAGGUUUCUUCCCUUUUCCUUUCCCUCACAAGCUGGAAUAUGGGCUUUUGAACAUCAAGCCUGAACGUAUGGAUACUUUCUUUUCCUGUUAUCUUUAGUCAACGUCUUAGUUUGAGUGAACAAAAACUAGAGGAUCAGAGGUUUUGACUCCACAGAGGUGCACUCUCUACAAUGAUUGUAUUUGUUUAUGCAGAUUUUGUAUGCAAGCAGGUCUGCCAUUACCCUGAUCCUGUAACAAGGUAAACAAAAUCUAUUCACCUAUUGAAAGAUGGAAAAGACCAUUUGGUUAAAGCUUUCAUUUCAAAACCACAUUAUUUUGAAUCUCUAUUAUAGUUUGGUUCACUAUUUACCUGAGUGAGAGUGCAGG